CAGCCGCCACGGGAAUACGAGGGGAGCUAGCGUUGUUCGGAAUUACUGGGCGUAAAGCGUGUGUAGGUGGUUGUUUAAGUCUGUCGUGAAAGCCCUGGGCUCAACCUGGGAAUUGCGAUGGAUACUGGGCGACUAGAGUGCGGUAGAGGAUAGUGGAAUUUCCGGUGUAGCAGUGAAAUGCGUAGAGAUCGGAAGGAACAUCUGUGGCGAAGGCGACUAUCUGGGCCAACACUGACACUGAGACACGAAAGCGUGGGGAGCAAACAGGAUUAGAUACCCCCGUAGUCCCUGUCUCUUAUAC
rnacentral:rRNA from 1 species